UCCAAGGAGGAAAAAAGAGAAAUAUUUAAAGAAGUGACUUCCAAUCUUCUUCACAAGUAUAAACAAACUGAUUACGAACAAAUUAGUUUAGAGAAAAUGUGAUUUCAGCAUGUUUCCCAAAUUGUUCUAAUCAUGGAAGAGUUGGAAUACAUUUAUUACUGACCAUCUGAACAUCUGCUCAGGAUAUUACAUGAAAAAACUCAGGAUAUCAUAACACUAGAACUCAGGAUGUUAACACACAGCCCAUUACCCAGGUCAUUAAAACACAAAAGACUAAUGGGCACACAUCAAGGACCUCACCCACACAGGAUGUUACGAAACAUCUGAAUAAUCUGCAAACAUCAACUCCAUCAACCAAUCGAGAUGUAACAACACAGGCAACCAACCUGUUCACAGCAACAAAGCCAGCACCCCACACCUCCCCACCAGUAUUUAUAGAGAGACAGCAGCUCCAAUCACGCUUUCCUUGCACAAGCAUCAAGCCGAAGACACCAGCCUGAAGAUGAUGAGCGGGACCUCAUCGAAACAUCACCAAGAUACUCUCAAUCUUACCCAGGAAAAGACCCGAAGACACCAAAACUAAAAAAAUAAAGGGAACACAAGCAGAAGACAUCCAAGAUCUGAAUGAAUGAAAUAGCCUCAUUAAAUACUUUGUUCUUUA